rnacentral:rRNA from 1 species
AUUGAACGCUGGCGGCAUGCUUUACACAUGCAAGUCGAACGGUAACAGGCCGCAAGGUGCUGACGAGUGGCGAACGGGUGAGUAAUGCAUCGGAACGUGCCCAGUCGUGGGGGAUAACUAUCCGAAAGGAUAGCUAAUACCGCAUACGAUCUGCGGAUGAAAGCGGGGGACCUUCGGGCCCCACGCGAUUGGAGCGGUCGAUGUCAGAUUAGGUAGUUGGUGGGGUAAAGGCUCACCAAGCCAACGAUCUGUAGCUGGUCUGAGAUGACGACCAGACACACGUGGACUCAUACACGGCCCAGACUCCUACGGGAGGCAGCAGUGGGGAAUUUUGGACAAGGGGCGCAAGCCUGAUUCAGCAAUGCCGCGUGCAGGAAGAAGGCCGUCGGGUUGUAAACUGCUUUUGUACGGAACGAAACGGCUCUGGUUAAUACCUGGGGCUAAUGACGGUACCGUAAGAAUAAGCACCGGCUAACUACGUGCCAGCCGCCGCGGUAA